rnacentral:rRNA from 1 species
GGCAGACGGGUGAGUAACACGUGGGAACGUACCUUUCGGUUCGGAAUAAUCCAGGGAAACUUGGACUAAUACCGGAUACGCCCUUCGGGGGAAAGAUUUAUCGCCGAUAGAUCGGCCCGCGUCUGAUUAGCUAGUUGGUGAGGUAAUGGCUCACCAAGGCGACGAUCAGUAGCUGGUCUGAGAGGAUGAUCAGCCACAUUGGGACUGAGACACGGCCCAAACUCCUACGGGAGGCAGCAGUGGGGAAUAUUGGACAAUGGGCGCAAGCCUGAUCCAGCCAUGCCGCGUGAGUGAUGAAGGCCUUAGGGUUGUAAAGCUCUUUUGUCCGGGAAGAUAAUGACUGUACCGGAAGAAUAAGCCCCGGCUAACUUCGUGCCAGCAGCCGCGGUAAUACGAAGGGGGCUAGCGUUGCUCGGAAUCACUGGGCGUAAAGGGCGCGUAGGCGGACUCUUAAGUCGGGGGUGAAAGCCCAGGGCUCAACCCUGGAAUAGCCUUCGAUACUGAGAGUCUUGAGUUCGGAAGAGGUUGGUGGAAUUGCGAGUGUAGAGGUGAAAUUCGUA